rnacentral:rRNA from 1 species
CCUACGGGAGGCAGCAGUGGGGAAUAUUGCACAAUGGGCGAAAGCCUGCCGCAGCGACGCCGCGUGAGGGAUGAAGGUCUUCGGCUCGUAAACCUCUGUCAGCCGCGCAGAACGGUCACUGUGCUAAUCAACAGUGAAUUGCCGGUACCUUCACAGGAAGCACCGGCUAACUCCGUGCCAGCAGCCGCGGUAAUACGGAGGGUGCGAGCGUUAAUCGGAAUUACUGGGCGUAAAGCGCUCGUAGGCGGUAUGUCAAGUCAAGGGGGAAAUCCCCGGGCUCAACGUGGGAACUGCCUUAGAAACUGGCAAACUGGAGUGUGUGAGAGGAUAGUGGAAUGCCAGGUGUAGGAGUGAAAUCCGUAGAUAUCUGGAGGAACAUCAGUGGCGAAGGCGACUAUCUGGCACAUAACUGACGCUGAGGAGCGAAAGCGUGGGUAGCAAACAGGAUUAGAUACCCUAGUAGUC